rnacentral:lncRNA from 1 species
GUUUAGUUCCAUUUAACGCUGUUAUUAAAAAAUAUAUAUAUAUAUUUUUUUUCUCUUCCUAAACCCCUUUGCUAACUUAUUGAGGACAAUCACUACUGGGUGACCUUCGUUGCUGCAACAGGUCAGUUUGCGUAAAGUGGAAUCACUUAUGUAAGGGACGAGUUUGGUAUAUGGACAAACGUGCGAUACACAGAAAACUUAGCCAUUUUUCUUUCUUUUUUUUUCUUUCCUGGUGGUAGUUUGGAAUCCAAUAUGGCCUCACCGGUACAAUAAGAAUCCAUGUACUUAGUUACUUUUGGCUGCACAUCCAGGUAGGCUACCGACCUUCUGCAUUCUCUAUCUGUUUAGCGUGACGAGGACUAUCGUCUGCGUGCAGCAUUCAUCAUCUGGCAUUUUUCGUUUUAUGGCUUGGGAAGGAGUCGUCACGCCGCUUUGCUUUCGAUUCUUGCUGAAAUUCGUCCGGGGUGGUUACGCAAAACUGUAAUUUUUGCCAAGAAAAAAAAAGAAGAAGAAAACAAUUCUGCCAGAGCUACUUUUUUCCUCUUCCUUCCAUAUUUGGAAACGCUAAAAAUAAACGUGAUUAAUUUAGUAGGAACUGCAUUAUUUACCGAAUUCUUUUGUGGUAUUGUUAUUAAUUUAUUUAGCGACUCGCACGACGACGUCACACAGAAAUUUUCUUUUUCAGUUCUUAUUUAAAAGAGAAGAAUCGUCCCAUUCACUCCUUUCUCACAAUGAAGUCGGGUCAAGGUCACUGGGUACCUAAUUUAUACAGUUCGGACGAGAAGCUUCUCUUUAUCACUCGUGCGCUGUAGUCAUGACAACCAACAAACAGGUGCGCGCACACACACACACACAGGUGAAAUAAUUUUCUAGUCGAAGUGGCCAUAUUUAUGUUCUUGGAUUGCAAACAUUCGCUUUUACCUGAGCGGCACAAUGCCAAAAUUAACGCGACCUCAUUGUUUUCAAAGAAUGACGUAACCAUGACGUGACUUAAGAUCAUAAAGCGUGUCAUUUACUUGUCCCCCAUUGUACGCUUUACUCUUUAUAGUCCAUUCACUGAUAAUACAUAACUAAAACGACCAAUUGCGAUUGGUAUUCAAUUUCCCAGUUCGAUUAUGUUGGUUCUUGCAAACAAUCAUCGUCAUUCGAGCUUAUAUUACAUAGUAGAUAUGGCUGGAAUGACAUAGGGCAUCCGUUGACCUCGAUAGCGCAAGACCAUGACAACAGUUUUAUCGUCGUCCUCCAUCACUAACUCAUUUAGUUAUGUGCAGCGACCAGUUAAUCACCGACCUGCUAUAGAUUUCCAUCCCUCCCGGCAAAAUUGACCAUUCGAAAGGAAGAUUACUUCUAUUAACGCAUUGCUUGCGUCACACCGUUCUAGAAUGACCCAGCAAAUGAAUACUAUAAGUAGUUAACUAGGUAAUGCAGAAUUUCAGGAGAGUCCAUUGCGAUGCUCUCUCUACAUUCCAUGAUUCCAGCGAAUUUUCACGAAAAGCAUCAGGCGAAUCCUCCCGAUAUUCGACGAUUCCAGUGAAAAGCAUCAGAAGAGUCCUUCUGAUAUUCAAAAUGGUGAUGGACGUUAGAGAGGACAAGCAGAUUAUCGCAAAUACAAAAAUAAGCUCUCACGACAGUUUAACUACGCGAUGCGUGAAAAUUGCCCCUGUUCCGUACAUUCCUCAGAUUAAAACUAAGUUCGUAAAUCAAGCGAAGAUAAAUUAGGUCCUUUAUUUUCCAUUCGAAUAACUUUAAAAAUAAAAUUAUAACUAAAAACCGGCAACUGUAGGUCUAUUAAUGAUCCAUCAGACAACAGGAACUAGUUUUGUUAUCUGUUUUUUUCUUUUCUUUCAAGUUAUAACACGACAUUUUUCCCGAAACCAAACUGUUACCCAUUUCAGUAGCACGAAAGGGAAGUUAUCAUGUUUGAUCGUAUUCAUGAUAAAAAUCGCGUAUGGGAGUCAAAAAGUCGAUUAGUUCUUUUUUUCAAGUUAUAUAUAUAUAUAUAUUAUAUCUGGUAUCUAUUUUCCGUGCGAGAAAAACAGAUUAAAGUGUUAUCGAAACUGCGCAUAGGAAAUAAAUAAUCAAAGUUCAAGAACGAUGCGGUAUCGCUGCCUUUUGAGAACAGAUCAACGAGCACGUGACAUAGCGCGAGUUUAGUUGUACAAUGAGUCAGUGACUUCCUGGCCGUAAAUUACGCGUCAGAGAGAACUGGUUUUUCUUCGCUUGACACAGACCUAUCACGACCUGUUUAUUGAAAGAAACAUUUGGCCACAAAUCGGCUGGGUGAAUGAAGCGGUUUUCUUCACACGGGCUGUAAAACAAACACACACAGCGAACUACCGAAAGGUUUCGCAAUAUCUUGUGCUUAAUUUAUGUUUUUGUAAGACGACACCCACCGUUUCCUUUACUACUGUUAAUCCCGAAAGUCCGGAGGCUAGAAGGAGAGAGAACUGUACCG